UCUGCUGACCUGGGAGCCUGCAAGACUUUGGGAGGCACCUUACCACAAAGGAGAGAGUUCUCAGGGGACUGAGACUCACAAGCUGCUUCAGCAGCUUCCCCACCUCCUCCAGACCCUUCCCAAAACCUGCCAUCACCUCUCUCUUUUUCAGCUUCUCUUCUUGCUAAAAGAGCUCACCUGAUUGUACCACUGGAGCAGAGGGGUCUCCCGGAAGACAGUUUCCAUCUGGAGAGGAAAAAUGAAGACAUUCUUCAUAGAAGACAAAAGCGAGAAGGCUGCGUAGCUGGAGUUCAAGUCCAAUGCUGUGUCAUUUGUAAGUCCCUUCAUGAAGAGGAUGACGGGCCGGUCCCGGAAUGCCUGGUGAGCCUGUACAACACUGAGGAGUUCCUGCUGGUGAGAGGCUGGAACUUAAGCAUUGCACUGUCUGACAGGUUUAUGAAGCAAGGAAAUUCCCUUCUGAAAUGCCACCCGCUUGCAUCUGAGUAGCCCUCAUUGGUUUUGCAGAGAUCAUAUGCUGGGCUCCAGCAGAGACUAGAUACUUGGAAUGACAACCCAAUGUCCAAGCAACACCUGGAAGUCUUUAAAACCUACUUAAUGAAAGGGAAUGGAAGGAAACAGUUCUGUGUGCUCGGGUAAUUAAUGAGAUACAUUAUCAUGUCACCCAGGCAGAAUACAGAUAAGUCCACAGCACUGCAAACCCUGUGGAAAUUCCCCUGCAAGCGCUAAGCAUGCACUUGAAGCUGUGGCAGCUCCUGAUCCAUUUCUCAGUGCUAGAUCUCAUCAAAUUAAAUAUUAAAGCAAUGACUAUUCCCAUCAGUACAGCUUUCCAUGCCGCACAGCAGAUUCUGUUAUUUUCCAUUGCCACUGCACAAAGUUUCUCAUUACACCCUGGGUGAAGUGGGUGAUAGUGCUGUAGCCACAGGUACCAAUGUGGCUUUGGGUACGUCAUGCCGGUCAAAGCAGCAUGCAGAGAAGGGAAUGCUGCUUUUUAAUUAUUAUUACUUUUCACAUGGUUUUCCCACUUUCUGUCAGCCCCAGCACUCUGCAGAGGAGCCCCUGCUGUGAGAGGCAGCACCUUGUGCCCAGGGCCUCUUUGUAGAUAUCAAAUUUUAACGGAAGGCAGGGAAUGGAGAGCAAAUACAAGCAGCUGGGGAACGACUUGUUCCUAAGCCUGAAGAUAAACCAGCCCCAGUGAUGCUCAGGUGCAGUGUGAAUAGUUGCUGCUGAAUCCAGCAGGAGUGAGAUUAAAAACAACUACAUUGCUAGAACAACAUUUCCUUCUACAGUCCCAUCCUGCCUCUUUCCCAGACACAUGUUUCUCACUUACUCCAGCUAUUUGAAGAUAAAACAGAAAGAAAAAGUUGCCCCCUCAUAGCUCUCUUGCCAAUCUCAGCUUUGCCAAUUUUCAAGCUUGCUUGUUUUCAGCUCUGACCUAAACCUGCUGCUGUUCUGUGCUGUUGCUCCAUUGUAUUCCAGGGACUGGUGCUCCCUCCUUCUUUUCCUUGCAAUUUUAAAUAUCUUGAUGCCACUCUCUUGGCAAUGUUUGCUUGAAGCAGAAAACCCAGACUUUGCUUUGAUUAGAAAUAAGACCAUCAGGACAUUCCUAUUACUGGAUUAAUACUUCUCCUUUGAUGGCCUAAAGACCCGAUGUCUUUAUGAGCACCCUAGCAAAGCUGUGCUAGCAAUAGUCAUUCAAAUUUAAAAUAGUCCAGGAGGCAUUUUAUUUGCAAAUUGUGGGGAGAGAAUGAGUUGACACUCCAACACAUCCCAGCUCUGUGUAUGACAUUGUGAAGAGAAACACGAAUCUUCAUCGUCUCAUUCUGGGAAAUUGUUUUGCUUGGUUGGUUUUCCAAAACCCCUAUGUGGCGGGUUAUGAAUUCUCAUCACAUUUGACCUGGAGGCUGCUGUUAUCAAAAUGUUCACUUCCCCGCUCAAGUUAAAAGGACUGCAGAACCAAAUGUUAAAAAUAAAUCCCAGCCAUUGAAUAGAUUACCCUGCUGAGUGGGUUGCUUUUCUGGAUGCAGCAGACGGCAUGCUGGCUUGAUGGCCCAUCUUGUAAAGAUAUUUCUUUUCUCAGGGCAAUUUCAGUAUUUCAAGUGCAGGAUGAAAACGGGUGGGAGACUACAAGAGAGAUUACUACGAAUGCCAGUGCACUAUAGUACUGUUACUGCCAUGUGAUGAUUUGUCUGAGGUGUUCAUGAGACAAGUGCAGCAGGAAGAUAGGACUGGAUGUUUUUCAGUAAAUGCCACCAAAGGGAGUAAAUCAAUGUGCCAGGGUGCUGGCAGCCCUGCACACCCCGUCCAUAUCACAGCCUGACCCUACAAACGCUGGGGUCCCUGAAGCAGCAGCUUGAGCAUCCCUCAAGAUUCAAAAGAGAGACUCUCAUCCUCCUGUUUAUUCCAAACACUGCAUCUUUCCUUUGAGAACCAGCGGGUUUUGUGUUUGGGUCUGCACCCAUCCAGCUGGGUGAUUGUCCUUCUUUCUUCUGGAAGGGAAUAACUCCAAGGCAGUCCAUGUUUGUAACACACACAGCAUCCCUUGAAUCUACCUGGGCUUAUUUCCAUGUCUCUAUAGAAUCUACUUGAGUAAAUUACAGCUAGAAUCGAGUUAGCGCACGUCUGUGCACUUCAAAGCCAACUUCCUUACAGAUUUAACACCAGGCACAUUUGGAAACCUCUUUCAAAUGGAAAACCUGUCGAAGAAUAUAUCGCAUUCAUUGCAGACUGUAAUUAAACAGCCGUUCCAACCUCCAGCAACUCAUGCAAAUGAAGCGGCUUCUUACUGCACAGCUUCUCACCUGUUUUCUGAUUCUACAACCUGACAUGCUUAGAGAUAAAGCAAAACUCACCUCUUGGCUGCAAAAAGCUGGCAGUGUGUAGUAUAUUGGGAAGUAAAGCCAAGCUGAA